rnacentral:rRNA from 1 species
CAGCCGCCGCGGUAAUACGUAGGGUGCGAGCGUUAAUCGGAAUUACUGGGUGUAAAGCGUGCGUAGGUGGUGGUUUAAGUCCGUUGUGAAAGCCCUGGGCUCAACCUGGGAAUUGCAGUGGAUACUGAAUCACUAGAGUGUGGUAGAGGAUAGUGGAAUUUCCGGUGUAGCAGUGAAAUGCGUAGAGAUCGGAAGGAACAUCUGUGGCGAAGGCGACUAUCUGGGCCAACACUGACACUGAGGCACGAAAGCGUGGGGAGCAAACAGGAUUAGAUACCCCCGUAGUCCCUGUCUCUUAUAC